rnacentral:rRNA from 1 species
AAGCCUGAUGCAGCAACGCCGCGUGAGGGAUGACGGCCUUCGGGUUGUAAACCUCUUUUAGUAGGGAAGAAGGGAGCUUGCUCUUGACGGUACCUGCAGAAAAAGCACCGGCUAACUACGUGCCAGCAGCCGCGGUAAUACGUAGGGUGCAAGCGUUGUCCGGAAUUAUUGGGCGUAAAGAGCUCGUAGGCGGUUUGUCGCGUCUGCUGUGAAAACCCGAGGCUCAACCUCGGGCCUGCAGUGGGUACGGGCAGACUAGAGUGCGGUAGGGGAGAAUGGAAUUCCUGGUGUAGCGGUGGAAUGCGCAGAUAUCAGGAGGAACACCGAUGGCGAAGGCAGUUCUCUGGGCCGUAACUGACGCUGAGGAGCGAAAGCGUGGGGAGCGAACAGGAUUAGAUACCCUGGUAGUCCACGCCGUAAACGUUGGGCGCUAGAUGUGGGGACCUUUCCACGGUUUCCGUGUCGCAGCUAACGCAUUAAGCGCCCCGCCUGGGGAGUACGGCCGCAAGGCUAAAACUCAAAGGAAUUGACGGGGGCCCGCACAAGCGGCGGAGCAUGCGGAUUAAUUCGAUGCAACGCGAAGAACCUUACCAAGGCUUGACAUAUACGAGAACGGGCCAGAAAUGGUCAACUCUUU